CGGCCGCAGCGCCGUUAUGUUCCGCGCAUGCACACAUCGGUAGCUGUCAGCUGGUGGUUGUUAUAGUAACAGGCGUCCGGAGUUGAGCGCCGGUGUGGUUAUGAAGCUAACAGUUAAUAAUCACACCCAACCUUAAGAUCACAAACAGAUGAGUUAAGUAGAUUGGAGAUGAGCGCUGUCACCCACACAUUGUGCUAACACACACACACACACACACACACACACACACACACACACACACACACACACACAGAGAUGCCAGCCGUGAGAGAACAUAAGGACGAAUCCGAGUCAUCGUCCGAAGAUGAGCCGGAGAAACUUCCGUGCAUUGCCUGGAGUGGCGUCAGCAAGAGGAUUCCCGUGCUGCUCUUCUGUGCAGAAGCCAUUGUGUCCAAAGAUGUGGCCAUCCGCUCUGUUGGAGAAAAAUAUAACUUGGCCUUCAAGAUUGUGCGUACGGAGAGCCGUCUUGUUCGUGGCAUACUGGUCAAUCACGGAUUCCACGAGGUGCACCCAAAUAGCAAUGACUUUAACCUGAUGUGGACCGGCUCACACCUGAAGCCAUAUCUUCUGCGCUCUCUGCAGGAUUUCCAGAAAGUCAACCACUUUCCCAGGUCGUUCGAGCUCACUCGGAAAGACCGGCUAUACAAAAACAUCCAGAGGAAGCAGCAAACCCAUGGAUUUCAUAACUUCCACAUCGUACCCCAGACCUUUGUGCUUCCUGCCGAGUACCAGGAAUUUAGCAGCUCCUUCAGCAAAGACAAAGGCGCGUGGAUCAUCAAACCGGUGGCGUCCUCCAGGGGCAGAGGCAUCUACCUGGUCAGCAGUCCGAGUCAGAUCCCACUGGACGAGAAUAUUCUGGUGUCUCGCUACAUCAGCAAUCCUCUACUGAUCGACGAUUUUAAGUUUGACGUGCGUCUGUACGUGCUGGUGACCUCAUUUGACCCUCUCCUGAUCUAUCUCUAUGAGGAAGGGCUGGCCAGGUUUGCCACAGUGAAGUAUGACCAUGCCACGGCAAACAUCAAGAACCAGUUCAUGCAUCUGACCAACUACAGCGUCAACAAGAAGAGCAGUGACUACGUCAGCUGCGAUGACCCUGAAGUAGAGGAUUAUGGGAACAAAUGGAGCAUGAGCGCAAUGCUGAGAUAUUUGAGGCAAGAAGGCAAAGACACCACAUUGCUCAUGGGCCAGAUCGAGGAUCUGAUCAUUAAAGCUCUUCUGAGCGCUGAGAUCCACAUCGCCACAGCCUGCAAGAUGUUUGUCCCUCAUCGCUGCAACUGCUUCGAACUGUACGGUUUCGACGUUCUCAUUGAUUCCAACCUCAAACCAUGGCUCUUGGAAGUGAACCUCUCUCCUUCAUUGGCAUGCGAUGCUCCUCUGGAUUUAAAGAUUAAGGCCAGCAUGAUCUCUGAUAUGUUUUCUCUUGUGGGAUUUGUGUGUCAGGAUCCGUUAUUACGACAGCCGCGUCCCGACAGAGCUGGCAUUGAUUCAAGAAUGAAGAAUCCUGCGCAGAAACUUCAGCGUCAGAGACCGCCAUCCUCCAACAGUGCCGACCCAGAAGCACAGAGAGAGAAAGCCAGCGCUAAGCCAGCGGAGAGUACGCUGAGUCUGACGGCAGAAGAGAUGAAAGUGCUGAGGAGGGUACAGGAGGAGUAUGACAGGAGGGGUGGGUUUGUUCGGAUCUUUCCUACUCCAGACACCUGGGAACUUUACAGUGGUUAUCUGGAAUACAAGACCUCUAUGAACGCCAUGUUGGCUAAUAAACUUUUCCAUGGAAGGACCAGGGUGAAUGAUAAUAUAUCUCUGGUUGUGGGGACCUUCUGCACGCACCAUGUGGUCCAAUAUGAAAGGAAGCUUCUUAGUCUGGAGACACGCAAGCAGAGGCGCAAACCCAGACGAGCCUUUGCCAGAAAAAAACGAGCAGGUCUGAAAGCUUCUCAGUCCCCUCACAUGAGUGAGAAUGAGGACGGGGUAGAGCGAGAGAUAGAGCUGAAAUCACCUCACCUCCACACAGACACUGCUCUGGAACAAACUUCACAACCCAAAGUCAACCUGCUCCAGAUUCUCCAACAAGGAUGGGACCUCAGUAAAGUUCAAGCACGCAUGGCCUUCUCCUCUUACCUGCACCGUGUCCAGCUGCGCCUGCUGGCUGAGAGCAGAGCCAACAUGGGCCCGGCCUGGACACAGAAGGAGCAUGAUCAGAUGGAGCUGGUGGUUCGCUUUCUGAGGAGAGCCAGCAGUAACCUGCGUCAGGACAUGUGUCUGGAGGAACCCAGCCGUCUGCUGUGUCUGUCAGACCGCCAGCGCAUCCUCUCCCAUCAGCUCGGGAACUUCAUACAGCUCUAUAACCAGGAAACCAAGCAAAUGGUGGAGAGUUUUGACCAGAUUCCAGAUGAGGAUCGCUGCAUCAACUCCAAUGUUUUCCAGGAGUUUAUUCUGGAGGCGAGUGAAAGUGACUUGGAGGAAGUCCUUACAUUCUACACGCAGAAGAAUAAGUCUGCCAGUGUGUUUCUGGGCACAAAGUGUGACAGCAGCGGAGUCAAGAGGAACAGCGAUGACAACAGAGGGACAGCUGCGUGCAUCAACACGGACGCCUCUGAUGGUUUAGAGAACGCAGAGAUCCAACACAAAGACGGUACUGCAGCUCAAACCGGAAACCAGGGCCAAAGUAAAUUAACCCAAAGCACAGAAAGCUGUAGUGCAACUAAACAUGGUAACAAAACCAAAUGCAACUCAUUGCAAAAUGGACACAUCCAAAGGAAAAGCCAAAGUGGAGACUGCGCCGUUAUUGAAGUGCUACCCAAUCCUUCGGCUGCUGCAGAGACUGAAUCAAGAGAUAUACCAAACAAGACUCCCACUUCUGCUGUCAGAAACAAGAGAGCUCUGUGUAAAUCAGGCAGUGAUCAUCCGAACGCUGCAGCUCUGGAGUGUGAACACAUCGUCUUACAGCACUGCCUCCCGCCGCCGUACGUCCAGCCGCCGCCACAUCCACUGGCCAGCAGCUCGUCUGUGUGUGUCACAUGGGCCUCCGCACGCAGCCAAUCGACUGCACCAACAGCUGCCCAAGAAACACCUCGACUGAUCCAUUCUACCGGUGUCCUACCCAGAGCCGUCCAGAGAUCAGCACGGCCCUCCUCUGCAGGACACGUCAGUCAGAAGCCCAGUCUGAAUAAGUCCAGACCUGGAUCUGCUGGUUUGCUGAAAGAGACGGACUCUCUGUCGGCCCAGGCUCAGUCCAACCAGCUGGCCAUCGUAUCUGCUCUGCGCAAACUAGUGGAGAAACAGGCGGCUCGUCAGUACAGCACGUCCAGUCACAUCAGCCUCCUUACACAACACCUGGCGAAUCUGAAUCUGGCCAAUGGGCUCUUCAGCAGAGGAGGUCUAACGUUGGGUCCUGGGGUCCGGCACACACCUUUGAGAGCGAUGCAUACACACAUGACCACUGGUGACUCUGGUCUCAGGGCUGCGUGUGAAGCUGAGUCGGUGUGUGAUGUUGAUCUGCUCAGCGCUCAGAAGCCGCCGCCGCCGGCUGCGGGAAACUACCAGCUUCAGUUCGCCAUCCAGCAGCUGCAGCAGCAGAAGCAGCGAUCCAGACAGCUGCUCGACCAGAGCCGCACACGUCACCAGGCCAUUCUGUCGUCUCACAGCCUCACACCUGCUGCUUCAUCACGACCUCAUGCUCCCAGCAGCCCCCUGACCCAGCCGCUCAGACGCACCUUCACCCACACGGGCCGCGCCAGGCUCCUCACGCUCACACCCAAACCUCCCAGCAGCGCCCCGAGAGACGGACGCCUGCGCAAGACCACCGCACACACCCUCCACAAGAAAGCAUUAUCUGAGCUUCCAGACGGUCAGAGCAGCAGCAGUGGACAGCAUGUGGUGUAUGAGACUGUGUGUGCCAAGACAGGUCUGUCAGUGUACAGUAAACUCUUCCACACUCAGGGCUCCAGGAACAGAUGAACGAGGUCAGAGGUCAGCUGCUUUGUGGGAUCACUUGACAUACUGAGAUCGAGAGACAACACGGACAUGAAGAGUUCACCUCUUCACUCUCAAUAUGCUGUCUUCUGAUAAUCAUUAUUUCCCUCCCAACCGACCUUAUGUGUCUUUUUUGAGUGUGUGAUUGUACGUGAAAUCCUUCUCUUUGAUUGGAUCUGUUCCACAGUCUGAAGGCGUCCUGCUUCUCGCUGUCUCGAAUGUGCAGUUGUCCAGCCUUCAUUAUCACCGCACAUCUGAUGCCAUGUGAAGGUUGUGCGGACUGACGGCUCACAACAGCUGUGACACGUGCAGCAACAGCAGACCCCGAGCUCACGAGAGCACCCAUCACAUUUAUCCAUGUUUACAUGUACAGAUCGAAGAUGUAGACUCCUGAGUAAAGCGCUUUCAGCACCGCUUGCUAAUGAUCUCUAACAACUUCUGUUCAAGUGCCUGGGUUCAGGUGUGAGGAACCACUGGAGCAGCUCUGAUCUGCAAACUAGAAACAUCGACGUCCAGUAGAAAAUCAGAAGACCCUUGAAAGCAGCUGUAAGAAUGCGGCCCCUCGCUGCAUCCGGAGCACAGAGGUCCCACCAAUGCUUGGCCCAUGAAAAGCAGGCUUGGAUAAAUAGGUUCUAGAGUGCUGCGAGGAGCUAAUCUAACAUCUUGAGAGUCUGUGGAGUGCACUUGAGGUAAAGCAGCUUCUGACGGGAGGCCCGAGACCAGCGGCUCCUUUACAGGAAAUACUGGAACCCCUUCAGGGCUCGGUUGGUCAGGAAACCCCCACGGAAAAUACAGCACCUAUAGAACAUAUACUCGCCGAAUGAAUCUGUUAUAUAACGGCUCUCAGGCCUGCGAGCCACAGGGUUUAUAUUGCGGUUUGAGGCAUCGGCGUGUGAAAGUAAAGCUCUGAGUUUCUCAGAAUGCUUCUUUUGUUCGCUUGCAAUUGUGCAAAUGUUCUUCUGUAUAAUCCAUCAGCACCUGGAAUACAGAUCAGGCCUGGAAAAGACUGGUGCUCCGUCUCACUUCAGUACAGUGCCAUCAUCUGAGUUUGUUCUGUGUGUGGAAACUCUAGUAUUUGGCUUAGAUGUGAAGGAUGUGUUGCACGGUGUAUUGGCGCUGUAUUUAAAAACCUGCAAAAAAUGACAAAGGCUGUGUCUGCAUGAACUAAAGCAUCGCCUUUAACGGAAAUGUAGAAAACUGAUGUGUAAAAGUCUAUUAAGAUUUGGUUAAUUGUUAA